CCUACGGGUGGCAGCAGUGGGGAAUAUUGGGCAAUGGAGGCAAGUCUGAACCAGCAAUGCCGCGUGAAUGAUGAAGGUCCUCGGAUUGUAAAGUUCUUUUCUAAGGGAAGAAGAAAGUGAUGGUACCUUAGGACUAAGCCUCGGCUACCUACGUGCCAGCAGCCGCGGCAAUACGUAGGAGGCAAGCGUUAUCCGGAUUGACUGGGCGUAAAGGGUGCGUAGGUGGUUUGACAAGUUAGUAGCGCAACUCCGGAGCUCAACUUCGGAACUACUACUAAAACUGUUGAACUUGAGUGCAGGGGGGGCAAGCGGAAUGCCUAGUGUAGCGGUGGAAUGCGUAGAUAUUAGGAGGAACACCAGUGGCGAAGGCGGAUUGCUAGACUGUAACUGACACUGAGGCACGAAAGCGUGGGUAGCAAACAGGAUUAGAUACCCUGGUAGUC
rnacentral:rRNA from 1 species